rnacentral:lncRNA from 1 species
AGAAAACAAAUGCGGUUGUAACUUUCUAAGAUAACCAAAAGAUAGAUGCCCUAGCCUUCGCUGCCAUAACCAAAUGGUUGCUCGAGCUUUAUUCUCACUACUUGUUUGAUUCGCCUGACCGAUCUCUGACCCCUUUCGUUUUGUCAACUCCAAAUGAUAAAGUUUGCCCCCUCUAACACCAUAACCAAGAAUCUUCCGAGUUAGAAUGUCC